rnacentral:tRNA from 1 species
AAAAGUAAAGCUUUAAAGCGUCUUAGUUACAAUAAGGAGUCCCUUUUUAGGUGCUUUUA